UCUGGGAGGACUGCCGGUGAUAAACCGGAGGAAGGCGGGGAUGACGUCAAGUCCUCAUGGCCCUUACAUCCCGGGCUACACACGUGCUACAAUGGCAGGUACAGAGGGCUGCGAAGCCGCGAGGUGGAGCGAAUCCCAGAAAACCUGUCUCAGUCCGGAUUGAAGUCUGCAACUCGACUUCAUGAAGGCGGAAUCGCUAGUAACCGCGAAUCAGCAGGUCGCGGUGAAUACGUUCCCGGGCCUU
rnacentral:rRNA from 1 species